rnacentral:lncRNA from 1 species
CAUUUAGUGAUGUUUUAGAUUGCAUUGUCUCAUUGAUAUUACCAUUUCAUAUAGGGCUAGAAAGCUUUUAUGCAGCCAGUUGAUCCCAGACUGUAAAAUGUCUACAUUUAAUGAUAUUUAAUGACAUCACAGGUUCAGAAAUCAUUUGAUGAGGAAGAGGCCGAUGAUGUUGAAGAAGAUGAUGAAGAAGAGUACUAUGAUGAAAAGAAAGAUGACAUCAAGGAAGAACAGGAUACAACGGAACAAAAUGUUAAUCAAAUACCUGAAUAUGAGGGACAAAACAUUAAAUCAUGUGGGAGUGAGGAAAAAAGUUAUGUUCUUACUGAAACCAUAAAGAAAGAAAACGCUAUUCUAGAAAAAGACACCUCUAAACAAGAGGGAGAAAAUGCUGAAGUUUGUGUAACAAACACUUCUGAUCUAGCUGUUGCAGGCAGCCGUGACAGAACAUCUGGAAGACUACUGGAUAAGUAGAUCCAGAAUCUGCCUUCUUUGAGUGAAGGACCUCUAUUCAAGGAAGGUUCCCCGUCCACUUUUUGGGAAUUCCUCUGCACAGCAGGUUAGCUUAACCUUUUAAGAUGAACUCUAUGAAAUCAGAAAUUAUUAGAAAUAAGAACAAUAAAUAUAAAAUUAUGCUUCUCA